GACGAACCGAGCGAACGUUGUUCGGAAUCACUGGGCUUAAAGGGUGCGUAGGCGGGCUGCCAAGUUUGGGGUGAAAUCCUCCGGCUCAACCGUGGAACUGCUCGGUAUACUGGCGGUCUUGAGCCACCUAGGGGCAACUGGAACAAGCGGUGGAGCGGUGAAAUGCGUAGAUAUCGCUUGGAACGCCAACGGUGAAAACAGGUUGCUGGGGGGUGUGCUGACGCUGAGACACGAAAGCCAGGGGAGCGAACGGG
rnacentral:rRNA from 1 species